GACGAACGCUGGCGGCGUGCCUAAUACAUGCAAGUCGAACGCAGUGGGGACGGGUGAGUAACACGUGGGUAACCUCCCAUCAGAGGGGAUAACACUUGGAAACAGGUGCUAAACCGAUACUGAUGGAUGAACCCGUGGGGGAUUAGCUAGUUGGUGGGGUAAAGGCUCACCAAGGCCACGAUCUCUAGCUGGUCUGAGAGGAUGAUCGGCCACACUGGGACUGAGACACGGCCCAGACUCCUACGGGAGGCAGCAGUGGGGAAUAUUGCGCAAUGGGCGCAAGCCUGAUCCAGCAAUGCCGCGUGAAUGAAGAAGGUCUUCGGAUUGUAAAGUUCUUUCAGUGGAGAAGCGUUACCCGCAGAAGAAGCACCGGCUAACUCCGUGCCAGCAGCCGCGGUAAUAC
rnacentral:rRNA from 1 species